AACGAAGAAGAAGAAGAAGAAGAAGAAGACCCAGCGGCAACAAUGUCUCGACAGCCAAAAGACCUCAGAAGACGGAGACGGCGGCGGAAAUCCCGAAUGGAAUCACACCAUGCAAUUUGAUCUCAAAUCCAUCUCAUUUCCUGAUCAGGGCGAUCAUCUAUUUCUCAUCUUCAAAUUACGCUGCGCAGGUUUAAUCUUUCGCAACAGAUGUAUUGGGAAAGUUCGCGUUCCAUUCAAGGACUUGAUCGACGAGUUCAACGGCGCUGUUAGGUUUGUCAGUUACCAGGUUCGAACUAGUGAUGGGAAGCCUAAUGGGGUCUUGAAUUUUUCCUAUAAGGUGAAGGGUAAGGCUGGGAAGAACGGAGAUGAUUCCCCUGCUCCGAGAGUAGACUUUC
rnacentral:misc_RNA from 1 species